AUUGGGCCGGCCCACGCUGAGCACCAUCAUCUGACGGCUGACUGAACUCACGAUGUAUCCAUUGUAGGAUUUGCCUGCGGAAGAAGAAACCCGGAUCUCUGAUUACGUAAAAGCAUUCGAUUAUUCCUUCUCCAAGCGCUUCGUUUCGGUCGAUAGUUCUGAUGGUUUAGGAACCAAAAUCAACGGUGAUGGCAUUGCUUACUACAACAAUCUCAUUAAUGCUUUUCUUGACAAGAGUAUGAAGUUUUUGUAUUUGACUUCCUUCUACUUGCAACAUGUUACAUACUUGGAAACUUUGCUCCUAUAGUGGUGUUGCAUUAGAAGGGGAACAAAAACAAGCCACAAAAAUGUUUACAAUAUUUCCUCUGAUCUUGUGAGGUGGCUGCUAAGGUGAAAUGCCACCUUUGUAGUAUCAGUCUUUCCCAUGUUUGAAAAGCAAUUUCAGAAUGAUCGGAAAUUGGGAUUAGAAGAAUGAUGGCAAUUGAGAUCUCACAUGCUGUUUGAAGGAUCCAUCAUUGUUUGUACAUAAAUGAUCUGUAUAUUUUGGCAAACAUGCAGAAAAUAUUUUGCAAUUUAUGCAGAAACUUGCUUUGCAAGUUUUGGUGAUAGAGUAAAGAACUGGAUUACAGUAAAUAUGCCUUUUCAAACUGCAGUCAAUGGAUAUGGUAAUGGGAUAUUUGCUCCUGGAAAACAUGAACAGUCCUCAACGGCACCAUAAUUUGGUUGCACAUUGCCAGCUCUUGGCCCAUUCAGCAUCUGUUUCCAUAUUCAGAAACAAAUAUGAGAUGUGUUGCAUGAUUGCUAUCAAAUGGAUGGAAUGGCUCAUUGCUGCAGUGUGUGAUGUAGCAGAGUAGCAGUUUAUUUAUUUGUUUUUUUUCUAUUCUCUGAUUGGAUGUCCUAUUUGUGAAAGUGUUGACAUAUUAUGACGUGUAAUUUCAGAACUUACAGACUUGGAAUAUUUUUAUUUUUGAUAUGUUCCAUUUUUGUUCAUUUAUUUUUAACUGUGACAAAAACCUUGGAUUUGUUUUUUGCUUGGCUGGAGGUAAGGCCAUGAUUUGGUUUGUUGCUUACUGGUUGGAUUGAAUUGGGAUCACUUCAUUUAGUUGGUAACUUAAAUCGAAAUAAUAAAUCUUAAAUGCUUCUUACAUUACCUUUGUGUUUUGUAGCAAGGAAAUUGUCCAUGUAGUGUACUUUAUCCACACUCUUCUAGCGGUUAUUGUUCUUUUCAUCAGUUCUUGGAAUCCAACUUGCAUGUUCUCAUAGAUGUAUGGCAUGAUCUCUCUCUCUCUUUCCCUAAAAGCAGGAAUGGAUCAUUACGGCAGCAUGUAAUGUAGCACAACAGUGGUUUAUUGUUAUUAUUUUUAUUAUUUCCCUUUUGGACCUGUUUGUGGAAUUGUUGACAUAUGAUGUGUAAUUCCAAAGCAUGAUAAUUUGGAAAUUUAUUAUAAUGAUUUAUUUAUUUAUUUCAAACCUUUGUUUUAUAA